CCUACGGGGGGCUGCAGUGGGGAAUAUUGGACAAUGGGCGAAAGCCUGAUCCAGCCAUGCCGCGUGUGUGAAGAAGGCCUUCGGGUUGUAAAGCACUUUCAGUGGGGAAGAAAGCCUUGGGGCUAAUACCCUCGAGGAGGGACAUCACCCACAGAAGAAGCACCGGCUAACUCCGUGCCAGCAGCCGCGGUAAUACGGAGGGUGCGAGCGUUAAUCGGAAUUACUGGGCGUAAAGCGCGCGUAGGCGGUCUGAUAAGCCGGUUGUGAAAGCCCCGGGCUCAACCUGGGAACGGCAUCCGGAACUGUCAGGCUAGAGUGCAGGAGAGGAAGGUAGAAUUCCCGGUGUAGCGGUGAAAUGCGUAGAGAUCGGGAGGAAUACCAGUGGCGAAGGCGGCCUUCUGGACUGACACUGACGCUGAGGUGCGAAAGCGUGGGUAGCAAACAGGAUUAGAUACCCGGGUAGUC
rnacentral:rRNA from 1 species